UACUAUGUUACGACUUAUCUCACUUCUGAGAGCGACGGGCGAUAUGUGCAUAUUUUAGAGCUUGAUUCAAAUACUCAUAAUAUUAGUAUUUUACUAUUAAAUCCUAAAAAAAUUUUUUCAACAAAAAAAAAUUACAUUAAAAUUAAUGUAAUUCACCUCAUUCAUAAUUAUUUGAUGCACCUUGACUUAAUAUAUUUUUUAUAAAAAAUUUUUAAAUAUUACUAUUCAAUAUAAUUAAUAUAGUGGUAUACAAACUGAUUUAAAUUACUAAAUUAAGUAAGAUUAAGGCGUUGUGUCCAUUAUAGAGCAAAUUCCUCUAAUAAGCUUAAAAUACCGCCAAAAUUUUUUGAUUUCAUAAAUUUUAUUUACUCCCAAUAUAUAACUUAAAAUAAUAGGGUAUCUAAUCCUAGUUU
rnacentral:rRNA from 1 species